UGGGGAAUUUUGGACAAUGGGCGCAAGCCUGAUCCAGCCAUGCCGCGUGAGUGAAGAAGGCCUUCGGGUUGUAAAGCUCUUUUAGUCGGAAAGAAAGAGUUGCAAUGAAUAAUUGUGAUUUAUGACGGUACCGACAGAAAAAGCACCGGCUAACUACGUGCCAGCAGCCGCGGUAAUACGUAGGGUGCGAGCGUUAAUCGGAAUUACUGGGCGUAAAGGGUGCGCAGGCGGUCUUGCAAGUCAGAUGUGAAAGCCCCGGGCUUAACCUGGGAAUUGCGUUUGAAACUACAAGGCUAGAGUGCAGCAGAGGGGAGUGGAAUUCCAUGUGUAGCAGUGAAAUGCGUAGAGAUGUGGAAGAACACCGAUGGCGAAGGCAGCUCCCUGGGUUGACACUGACGCUCAUGCACGAAAGCGUGGGGAGCAAACA
rnacentral:rRNA from 1 species